ACUCCGAAGGAUGAUCGCGGCCUUAUCUUCUUUUGUUUUCCCUUGCGCACUUGUAAUCGGGCUUCGGCCCAAUUUUGUAGAUCUGAAUGUACUUAAGGAAUUUUUGAUUUCCUUUUCGACUUCUUUUUCUUGCCUGUCAGAAUGUACUUAGAGUCGUGGAGUCAUAGGGUCGGAGAGUCGCAGUCCUGACGUACCAUAUCGGGACACUCAACGACAUCCCAAGUUGUUAGUCGAGAU
rnacentral:lncRNA from 1 species